CAUCAGGAAGAUGGUUGAUUGUCAACAAUUCAUCUGCAAAUCUUUAUUGAGUCCCCACUUUGUGCCGGGUGAUGGGGAUACAGAGGAGAACAAGACAGACAUGGUCUCUGCCCUCCAACAGGAUGGAAAUUGUUUUAGUGAAGAGCAGGAUGAACCAGAAAGCAGAGAAGGUUUGCAGAGAGAAUUAAACUAAAAAAAAAAAAAGUAACUUUGACUUGGUUAGAGUUAUGCGCUGGGUUGGCCAGGAAUGUAAAUAAAUGCCAUAAGCCUGGAUCUAAUAUUUUCCUUUUCUCUCUCUCUCUUUGCAAUGAGUCUGUGAGUUAGGCGGAAGUACCAGGAAUUGUACUGGCCAACAGAUUCAGAAAUGAUCCUGGACCUGGCAUGAGGAAGGCUGAAGGCAGAGGAGGGGUGAUUGGUGAGCAGCCUUGGUAGUAGAGUGGGACAUGAAGAAUGAUGAUUCUAGGAAGAGAUGUAUACAUGGUUCUGUACUGAACAGGCUGCCAUUUAUAUUUAUUUAUAAAUAUUUUGAUGUCAAGAAGAUUAGAAGCGGCUCAGAAGAAAGUGAGGGCUCUGAGAGGGGUAGGGCAAAUGAGUGAUAAUCUGCUACAUCAGUGGAAUCUGACAACUCAGAAAAUUCCUCAAUUUUUUUUUGCACUAGCUAAAAAGACAGUGUCUUUGUGUUGGUGAUAAGAGAAGACCAAUCGAAUGGAGAAGGAAGAUAAGAGCUGAAACCUGAACCACAGCUAGGCUGAGUGCCUCUUUCACUGUGGAGCAUAUAUGUGUGGAGAGGAUGAGAUGGACUAAGGACAGAUUUUAAACCGAGAAAGUCUAUGUAGAAAUCUAUUAAGGACUUUAAAGAGUUACGUAAUUAUAUAUGGUCGAAUGCAAGCUGUCCAUGGGGUUUCUGAUUUGAAUGCAGUUUUAUAGUUUCAGUGGAUUGAUGUAUGUGGAAAAAGAUCAUAACGAAGCAGAGACUAUAUUUCAUGCCUGUGGUCCAGCAGAAGGGGCUGGCUGACAUGGGAAUAAGGUAAUAUGCCUAUUCACACUAUGGCAUAAUGAACUAUGAAACUAAAAAUAUUCUGUUGGGGAGGUAGAAUUAGUACCCAAACAUUUUAGGUAUUUGGCCUUUGCUAAAAUGUUCUCCUCCCAGAAUCCUCUCCCAUCUUCCCUAUGCAUUUAAGUCCUCUCCCUCUUCCAAGCUUGACUCAGGCCCUGCCUCACCCAUGAAGCCUGUCCCAACCUCUGCAGCUGGUGAUCUCCUCCCUUCUUCUGAACUCAGCACUCCUUAUAUUGCCUGUUUUCCAGGUUAUUUGUUCAUUGAUUCAAUCUGUAUUUGUAUAUUUAUCUAACUUCUAUGUUGUGCUCAGUUUAGGAUCCAAAGACAAAUGGCUCAAACCAACUAGGGAGAAAGAC
rnacentral:lncRNA from 1 species